AUGGCAUGAGGUGAAAAGGGAAACAGGUGUAAUUCCUGUACGAUCUCGUCGCUGUGUGGAGCGAGCAUAUUAUGAACCGGAGCUGAUCCGGUGUUCACCACUGUUCGAAAGAAUGGGAAGGGGUAAUAUGCGCAUGAUACAUAUUCCAUGUCUCAUAACGCUUUGAGUCAGAAGACCUGCCUGAUUUUCA
rnacentral:ncRNA from 1 species